rnacentral:rRNA from 1 species
UCGCGGCCUAUCAGCUUGUUGGUGGGGUAAUGGCCUACCAAGGCGUCGACGGGUAGCYGGCCUGAGAGGGCGACCGGCCACACUGGGACUGAGACACGGCCCAGACUCCUACGGGAGGCAGCAGUGGGGAAUAUUGCGCAAUGGACGAAAGUCUGACGCAGCAACGCCGCGUGAGGGAUGACGGCCUUCGGGUUGUAAACCUCUUUCAGCAGGGACGAAGCGAGAGUGACGGUACCUGCAGAAGAAGGACCGGCCAACUACGUGCCAGCAGCCGCGGUAAUACGUAGGGUCCGAGCGUUGUCCGGAAUUAUUGGGCGUAAAGGGCUCGUAGGCGGUUCGUCACGUCGGGAGUGAAAACUCGGGGCUUAACCCCGAGCCUGCUUCCGAUACGGGCAGACUAGAGGUAGGCAGGGGAGAGCGGAACUCCUGGUGUAGCGGUGGAAUGCGCAGAUAUCAGGAAGAACACCGGUGGCGAAGGCGGCUCUCUGGGCCUUACCUGACGCUGAGGAGCGAA